UACGUAGGGAGCGAGCGUUGUCCAGAUUUACUGGGUGUAAAGGGCGUGCAGCCGGGCUGGUAAGUCAGAUGUGAAAUCCGUGGGCUCAACCCACGAACUGCAUUUGAAACUGCUGGUCUUGAGUACCGGAGAGGUUAUCGGAAUUCCUUGUGUAGCGGUGAAAUGCGUAGAUAUAAGGAAGAACACCAGUGGCGAAGGCGGAUAACUGGACGGCAACUGACGGUGAGGCGCGAAAGCGUGGGGAGCAAACAGG
rnacentral:rRNA from 1 species